rnacentral:lncRNA from 1 species
CGCUUACUGAUUCAUCAAGCCCAACAAACAUGUUUUUUCUUCCUAACAUAUGGUUGCUUGCUCCUAUAUUCAAAUACCAAGUAUUCUUUUCUCUGCUCUCUUCACCUUUGUAAGCCAACAGUAGUGCAGGAUCUACUUCACUUUCCCGACAAGCGUAGUUGGCUUUCUCCUCAACUUGGUUAGUAAUAUUUCUACAUUCUGAAGCAUAGUGACCAAGUUUUUGACAAUUGUAACAUUUAAUUUGAGAUUUGUCAUACCUUGGUCUUUCAUUUUGCCUCGUACAUUUUCCUCUUCUGCAACCUUUGGUAGAAAAUGAACUUUAUCUUCUUUCCUCUUUGUAGAAUGCAAUUCUUCCUCGAUCUUGGCCUGGUCCUCUUCCUCUUUGGCUUUUUCUACUGUUGAACCUUUCUUCACCCUCGUUCAAAAUGAGCUUUGUUUGAAGAGCUUGCUCCAAUGACUCUUCAUUCACCUUCUUCCUUAGUCUUUCCUCAUGGACUUGUAAAGAUCCAAUGAGUUCAUCGACACUCGUACUAUCUAGAUCUUUAGAUUCCUCAAUGGCUACAACUAUGUAGUCAAAUUUAGAAUCUAAAGACCUAAGUAUCUUCUCAAUUACUCUAGUGUCGUUCAACUUUUCUCCAUUCCUUUUU